CCGCAGCGGCAGCUGCUCUUCCACAGCCGCUCUCUCUCUCUCUCUCUCUCUCUCCCCGCCAGCUGCAACGAACGGCAGCUGGAGACUUUGAGCCAGAGAGAGAGAGAGAGAGAGAAGCAAGAGCGAGAUCAAAUCC
rnacentral:miRNA from 1 species